rnacentral:rRNA from 1 species
GUCCAUGCCGUAAACGAUGCUAGCUGGGUGUUCAGGGGGGAAACCCCUCGGGGUACCGAAGUCAACACGGUAAGCUAGCCGCCUGGGGAGUACGGUCGCAAGAUUAAAACUCAAAGGAAUUGACGGGGCCCGCACAAGCAGCGGAGCGUGUGGUUUAAUUCGAGGCUACACGAAGAACCUUACCUGGGUUUGACAUACAAGUAGUAGUGAAGCGAAAAGCGGAACGACCUUCGGAGCUUGUACAGGUGCUGCAUGGCUGUCGU